AAUCCAUAGGUUAAUGAGGCGAACCGGGGGAACUGAAACAUCUAAGUACCCCGAGGAAAAGAAAUCAACCGAGAUUCCCCCAGUAGCGGCGAGCGAACGGGGAGGAGCCCAGAGCCUGAAUCAGCAUGUGUGUUAGUGGAAGCGUCUGGAAAGGCGCGCGAUACAGGGUGACAGCCCCGUACACAAAAGCGCAUGUGCUGUGAGCUCGAUGAGUAGGGCGGGACACGUGGUAUCCUGUCUGAAUAUGGGGGGACCAUCCUCCAAGGCUAAAUACUCCUGACUGACCGAUAGUGAACCAGUACCGUGAGGGAAAGGCGAAAAGAACCCCGGCGAGGGGAGUGAAAAAGAACCUGAAACCGUGUACGUACAAGCAGUGGGAGCACCCUUUGGGUGUGACUGCGUACCUUUUGUAUAAUGGGUCAGCGACUUAUAUUCUGUAGCAAGGUUAACCGAAUAGGGGAGCCGGAGGGAAACCGAGUCUUAACCGGGCGUUAAGUUGCAGGGUAUAGACCCGAAACCCGGUGAUCUAGCCAUGGGCAGGUUGAAGGUUGGGUAACACUAACUGGAGGACCGAACCGACUAAUGUUGAAAAAUUAGCGGAUGACCUGUGGCUGGGGGUGAAAGGCCAAUCAAACCGGGAGAUAGCUGGUUCUCCCCGAAAGCUAUUUAGGUAGCGCCUCGUGAAUUCAUCUCCGGGGGUAGAGCACUGUUUCGGCUAGGGGGCCAUCCCGGCUUACCAACCCGAUGCAAACUGCGAAUACCGGAGAAUGUUAUCACGGGAGACACACGGCGGGUGCUAACGUCCGUCGUGAAGAGGGAAACAACCCAGACCGCCAGCUAAGGUCCCAAAGUCAUGGUUAAGUGGGAAACGAUGUGG
rnacentral:rRNA from 1 species